rnacentral:rRNA from 1 species
GUGGGGAAUAUUGCACAAUGGGGGAAACCCUGAUGCAGCGACGCCGCGUGAGCGAUGAAGUAUUUCGGUAUGUAAAGCUCUAUCAGCAGGGAAGAAAAUGACGGUACCUGACUAAGAAGCACCGGCUAAAUACGUGCCAGCAGCCGCGGUAAUACGUAUGGUGCAAGCGUUAUCCGGAUUUACUGGGUGUAAAGGGAGCGUAGACGGAGUGGCAAGUCUGAUGUGAAAACCCGGGGCUCAACCCCGGGACUGCAUUGGAAACUGUCAAUCUAGAGUACCGGAGAGGUAAGCGGAAUUCCUAGUGUAGCGGUGAAAUGCGUAGAUAUUAGGAGGAACACCAGUGGCGAAGGCGGCUUACUGGACGGUAACUGACGUUGAGGCUCGAAAGCGUGGGGAGCAAACAGGAUUAGAAACCCUAGUAGUCCC